ensembl:lncRNA
UUCAAGGCCAGGCUGGAUGGGAGCAUGGGCAGCCUGCUCCGGUGCUUCAUCUAGUGGCUGGCACCUGCCCAUGACAGGGGGUUGGAACUUGAUGAUCUUUGAGGUCCUUUCCAACCUAAACCAUUCUAUGAUUCUAUUAAUCUAUGAUUUACUCCAUCUGCAGCAGACAUGAAUCCCUUCAGGGGCAUCAUGGGUCUUUUGAAGACCCAUGUAAGACACUUCAUUAGCUUUCAAAAUACCCGCCUCCAAACGUCCCAUCUCCAAUAGAUCAAAACAGGGAGAUUUAGGCAGUGAGCAUGUUUGUGGCCUGAGCUUAGCUCCAUCAACUUCAAUUCAAGUGAAAAAUUCAAAUGUUUUCUUUGUGGAAAUGUCUGUCUUUUGGAUCAGGAAUUAGAUAAAUUUUAACUUAACGAAUUAUGAGUCAAUUUCAUUUUACCAUGAGUCAAGACACUUUUUUUCUGCUUAAUACACUACAGUGAGUCCAAAGACAGAGCAUCACUGUGGAUUAUAAACACCCUCACUCACCCACCACAGCUCCACAGCAAAGACCAGAGUCAGCUGCAGCAGUAUUCACUAUUGGUUAUCAUUUUUUUUCUCACUUCUAGUAAAAUAACAUUAAAACAACAAAAACAGUAUCUCACCACCCCCACAAUAAAGAAUGCCUUCCUAAUAUCUAGUCUAAGUCCACCCUCUUCCAGUUUAAAGCCAUUUCCCCUCACCCUGUCGCUACCUGCCCUUAUAAAAAUAGCUGAACUCCUUCCAAAAUCCUGCAACUAAGAGCUUCGUCACUGGUCUUAUUACAGCCCUGUAAGUGAAUGGAACCAUUUGGUUCAGACACAUGUUCUAGUAGAUAAAAAGACAUCUUCCCUGCCCCAUAAAUCUUGUAAUCUUAAUACCAAUUUUACUCCUACAUGCAUUCACAAGCAGAUACCAUUGUCAGCAAGCACAGCAAUUUGUUCAGCAGGGAGCUGAAUCUCGCCUUUAGCCUAACGUGAAUGUGCUCUCACAUACCUCUGAAUUGAAAAGCGAAUCAAGCACAUCUGCUGCCAACCGGGAGCAGAAUGAUGUAGCAAACAGAGUAAAUAUUUUUCUGCACUUUCUGGCUGAAGUGCUGACAUUACAUAAAUGUAAGGAGAAAAAAAAAAUGGUAGUCAAGAGGGGAGAGAUUAAUAUUAAUGACAGAUCCUCUGAAAAAAUUUUCUUGCAAGUAGUCUGGAUGCAAGGUAUAAAUUAGUAUUAUUUUUUGCUACAUAUCUUUACUUUAUAACACAAUAUUGGCAUUAUCUGCUGAGCAAUCAGAUCACUGAUGGGUUAGGCAAUUUAGAUUAGAGGUUCUUGUUUGAGUUGUUGUAUGUAUUUACUGAAAAAAUACGAGCAAUUGCAGCAACCAGAAUAGCAGACAUAGAAAGGGUUAAUUAUUUCCCAUCCCUAAGGUGAAGUUUAGCUGCAAAGAAAUUGCAGGAUUUAAAGGUUAUUGGCAGUUUCUAGUGCAGAACAAAGAAUUGAGUCCAGUCUCAAUUCCCAUCUGUGUCACAGAUGCUGGCUCACACCAUAUUUUAUAAUACAAACUGAUCUAAAGUUGGAAAGAAGAUUUUGUAGAUUUCUGUAAAGUCUAUGUUUUAAAGAGUAACUUGAAUGAAAGGUGAAUCAUAGGCAAUCAGUUUGCAACUUUUUCUCCUUUUACCGAAUUACACAGCUGGAAAGAGAAAACAUUUGUAACAAUUAUCAGAUGGACAAGGUAUAAAAUUAUUAUAAACCUCUAAGAACAGAAAUUAUAAGACAUUUGAAGUACGAAGAUUUGGUUAAGCAUGCUUUUUGGACAAACGCCACCCUCUCUAUUCAGUUAAACCCAAAAGACCAACUGAGGUAACAGACUAAGCUUGACUGGGCACAGCGAAGCUGCCAGGACACAUGAUUCCAGCACAACUGAUUCAAUUGCUUAUACGCAAAAUAAUCUGUCAGUCAUUUUCAGACAGAAACAAAAUGCUGCAAAGUAACGUCAUGCACUCAGGCUUUGGUUCACCUGUCUGUAUAUCUGUACCUGUAUGCCUGCUCUUAUUAAAUUGUAUUCUCUUAUUAAAUUGUAUUUUC